rnacentral:rRNA from 1 species
GACGAACGCUGGCGGCGUGCCUAAUACAUGCAAGUCGAGCGGAUUGAUGGGAGCUUGCUCCCUGAUAUCAGCGGCGGACGGGUGAGUAACACGUGGGCAACCUGCCUAUAAGACUGGGAUAACUUCGGGAAACCGGGGCUAAUACCGGACAAUCCCUUUCCUCUCAUGAGGAAAGGCUGAAAGAUGGUUUACGCUAUCACUUAUAGAUGGGCCCGCGGCGCAUUAGCUAGUUGGUGAGGUAACGGCUCACCAAGGCAACGAUGCGUAGCCGACCUGAGAGGGUGAUCGGCCACACUGGGACUGAGACACGGCCCAGACUCCUACGGGAGGCAGCAGUAGGGAAUCUCCCGCAAUGGACGAAGGUCUGACGGAGCAACGCCGCGUGAGUGAUGAAGGUUUUCGGAUCGUAAAACUCUGUUGUUAGGGAAGAACAAGUACGAGAGUGACUGCUCGUACCUUGACGGUACCUAACCAGAAAGCCACGGCUAACUACGUGCCAGCAGCCGCCGUAA